AGAGUUUGAUCCUGGCUCAGGAUGAACGCUAGCGGCAGGCCUAAUACAUGCAAGUCGAACGGUAAGCUUGGUAGCAAUAUUGAGCCUAGAGUGACGUACGGGUGCGUAACACGUAUGCAACCUACCUUGUACAGGAGUAUAGCUCGGGGAAACUCGAAUUAAUCCUCCAUAAUAUAUCUGGGAGGCAUCUUUUGGAUAUUAAAACUUUGGUGGUACAAGAUGGGCAUGCGUCUGAUUAGUUAGUUGGCGGGGUAACGGCCCACCAAGACGAUGAUCAGUAGGGGAACUGAGAGGUUGAUCCCCCACACUGGCACUGAGAUACGGGCCAGACUCCUACGGGAGGCAGCAGUAGGGAAUAUUGGUCAAUGGAUGGAAGUCUGAACCAGCCAUGCCGCGUGCAGGAAGAAGGCCUUCUGGGUUGUAAACUGCUUUUGCCAGGGGAUAAAAUGCUUGUGCGCAAGCAAUUGAAGGUACCUGGUGAAUAAGCCACGGCUAACUACGUGCCAGCAGCCGCGGUAAUACGUAGGUGGCAAGCGUUGUCCGGAUUUAUUGGGUUUAAAGGGUGCGUAGGCGGUCUAUUAAGUCAGUGGUGAAAUACUCCAGCUUAACUGGAGGGGUGCCAUUGAUACUGAUGGACUUGAGUGAAGUCGAGGUAGGCGGAAUUGACGGUGUAGCGGUGAAAUGCUU
rnacentral:rRNA from 1 species